rnacentral:rRNA from 1 species
AUUGAACGCUGGCGGCAGGCCUAACACAUGCAAGUCGAACGGUAACAGGAAACAGCUUGCUGUUUCGCUGACGAGUGGCGGACGGGUGAGUAAUGUCUGGGAAACUACCUGAUGGAGGGGGAUAACUACUGGAAACGGUAGCUAAUACCGCAUAACGUCGCAAGACCAAAGAGGGGGACCUUCGGGCCUCUUGCCAUCGGAUGUGCCCAGAUGGGAUUAGCUAGUAGGUGGGGUAACGGCUCACCUAGGCGACGAUCCCUAGCUGGUCUGAGAGGAUGACCAGCCACACUGGAACGGAGACACGGUCCAGACUCCUACGGGAGGCAGCAGUGGGGAAUAUUGCACAAUGGGCGCAAGCCUGAUGCAGCCAUGCCGCGUGUAUGAAGAAGGCCUUCGGGUUGUAAAGUACUUUCAGCGGGGAGGAAGGGAGUAAAGUCAAUACCUUUGCUCAUUGACGUUACCCGCAGAAGAAGCACCGGCUAACUCCGUGCCAGCCGCCGCAGUAA